CCUACGGGUGGCAGCAGUGAGGAAUAUUGGUCAAUGGACGUAAGUCUGAACCAGCCAUGCCGCGUGCAGGAUGACUGCUCUAUGAGUUGUAAACUGCUUUUGUGUUAGGGUAAACACGCCUACGUGUAGGGGCUUGCAGGUAUAAUACGAAUAAGGAUCGGCUAACUCCGUGCCAGCAGCCGCGGUAAUACGGAGGAUCCACGCGUUAUCCGGAUUUAUUGGGUUUAAAGGGUGCGUAGGCGGUUUGAUAAGUUAGAGGUGAAAUACCGGUGCUCAACACCGGAACUGCCUCUAAUACUGUUGAACUAGAGAGCAGUGACGGUAGGCGGAA
rnacentral:rRNA from 1 species